rnacentral:rRNA from 1 species
UACGAAGGGGGCGAGCGUUGUUCGGAUUUACUGGGCGUAAAGGGCGCGCAGGCGGCUUUGUUUGUCAGGCGUGAAAGCCCCGGGCUUAACCUGGAACUGCGUUUGAUACGGCAGGGCUAGAGUUCGGGAGAGGAGAGUGGAAUUCCCAGUGUAGAGGUGAAAUUCGUGAGGAAUAUCGGGAGGAACACCUGUGGCGGAAAGCGGACUCACUGGACCACAAACUGCA